GCCACUUCUGAUAGCAACAGCUGUCGAGUGGGGCUGAAAGACGAAGGCCUGGUUCCUCUGUGACUUGGAAGUUCUACCACCACAUCAGUGUCACAGUACCUAGGACUCUGUGGGACUUUGGGCACCAGAUCCCUUUCUCCAGGGGACAGAGAGAGGCGUCCACUGCUCCUACUGCAGGUUCCUCAAAGGCUGACCAUGGCUUUCCUGCACUACGUUUGUGUCUGUCUGUGUCUUCUGCCUGGCAGCUGUGUUUCCUCUGGGAGAACAGUAGUCUUCUGUCUGCUGUGGCAAG
rnacentral:lncRNA from 1 species